rnacentral:tRNA from 1 species
ACCUUCGUGGUGUAGUGGUCAGCACUCUUGACGUGUAACCAAGAGGUCAGUGGUUCGAUUCCUGGCCAAGGCG